UGGGGAAUCUUCCGCAAUGGACGAAAGUCUGACGGAGCAACGCCGCGUGAGUGAAGACGGCUUUCGGGUUGUAAAGCUCUGUGAUCCGGGACGAAAGAGCCUGAGGUGAAUAGCCUAAGGAAGUGACGGUACCGGAAAAGCAAGCCACGGCUAACUACGUGCCAGCAGCCGCGGUAAUACGUAGGUGGCAAGCGUUGUCCGGAAUUAUUGGGCGUAAAGCGCGCGCAGGCGGCUUCCUAAGUCCAUCUUAAAAGUGCGGGGCUUAACCCCGUGAUGGGAUGGAAACUGGGAAGCUGGAGUAUCGGAGAGGAAAGUGGAAUUCCUAGUGUGGCGGUGAAAUGCGUAGAGAUUAGGAAGAACACCGGUGGCGAAGGCGACUUUCUGGACGAAAACUGACGCUGAGGCGCGAAAGCGUGGGGAGCAAACAGG
rnacentral:rRNA from 1 species